GGCCGCCUGGCGAAAUGGCAUCGCGUCUGACUACGAUGGGUGGGCAUAGCUGGUACUAUCAUAGCAUCAGGAGAUUGCAGGUUCGACCCCUGCGGUGGUCA